GAAUAAAAAAACACAGGAACGAGCGUUUCGUAUCUGUCACUAAAGUAUGCGCGAGACAAAAUCGGCCAUAUUGGUCCUCCGAGUAUGACUCAUUCUGUUGUCAUUUUUUAUCGCCCCAGUUCGCCAAAUGAGAGGCCAAAUUCCAGUGUUCCGAAAAUAUGGUUAGCUGUGCCGCUUGUGGCUAUUCCCUGACACCAAAACAUAAAGAUGAUGGUGUUACAUUUCACAGCUUUCCUAAAAAUCAGACGAGAAGAUCGCAAUGGGUAAAUUUUGUCAAAAACCCUGAGUUUAUCCCCAAAAACAGUAGUGUACACACAAUGUAUACGAAAUUAAUUUUAUUUAAAGGCCAAUAAAUUUGUAUUUUUGA
rnacentral:lncRNA from 1 species